rnacentral:rRNA from 1 species
GACGAACGCUGGCGGCGUGCUUAACACAUGCAAGUCGAACGGAAAGGCCCUGCUUUUGUGGGGUGCUCGAGUGGCGAACGGGUGAGUAACACGUGAGUAACCUGCCCUUGACUUUGGGAUAACUUCAGGAAACUGGGGCUAAUACCGGAUAUGAUCUCCUGCUGCAUGGUGGGGGUUGGAAAGUUUCGGCGGUUGGGGAUGGUCUCGCGGCUUAUCAGCUUGUUGGUGGGGUAGUGGCUUACCAAGGCUUUGACGGGUAGCCGGCCUGAGAGGGUUACCAGCGACAUGGGGACUGAGAUACGGCCCAGACUGCUACGGGAAGCAGCAGUGGGGAAUAUUGCACAAUGGGCGGAAGCGUGAUGCAGCAACGCCGCGUGCGGGAUGACGGCCUUCGGGUUGUAAACCGCUUUCGCCUGGGACGAAGAGUGAGUGACGGUAAUGGGUAAAGAAGCACCGGCUAACUACGUG